AUUGAACGCUGGCGGCAUGCCUUACACAUGCAAGUCGAACGGUAACAGGUCUUCGGAUGCUGACGAGUGGCGAACGGGUGAGUAAUACAUCGGAACGUGCCUAGUAGUGGGGGAUAACUACUCGAAAGAGUGGCUAAUACCGCAUGAGAUCUACGGAUGAAAGCAGGGGAUUGCAAGACCUUGUGCUACUAGAGCGGACGAUGGCAGAUUAGGUAGUUGGUGGGAUGAAAGCUUACCAAGCCGACGAUCUGUAGCCGGUCUGAGAGGACGAUCAGCCACACUGGGACUGAGACACGGCCCAGACUCCUACGGGAGGCAGCAGUGGGGAAUUUUGGACAAUGGGCGAAAGCCUGAUCCAGCAAUGCCGCGUGCAGGAUGAAGGCCUUCGGGUUGUAAACUGCUUUUGUACGGAACGAAAAGCCCCGGGUUAAUACCCUGGGGUCAUGACGGUACCGUAAGAAUAAGCACCGGCUAACUACGUGCCAGCCGCCGCAGUAA
rnacentral:rRNA from 1 species